GAUGAACGCUGGCGGCGUGCCUAAUACAUGCAAGUCGAGCGAACAGACGAGGAGCUUGCUCCUCUGACGUUAGCGGCGGACGGGUGAGUAACACGUGGAUAACCUACCUAUAAGACUGGGAUAACUUCGGGAAACCGGAGCUAAUACCGGAUAAUAUAUUGAACCGCAGGGUUCAAUAGUGAAAGACGGUUUUGCUGUCACUUAUAGAUGGAUCCGCGCCGCAUUAGCUAGUUGGUAAGGUAACGGCUUACAAAGGCAACGAUGCGUAGCCGACCUGAGAGGGUGAUCGGCCACACUGGAACUGAGACACGGUCCAGACUCCUACGGGAGGCAGCAGUAGGGAAUCUUCCGCAAUGGGCGAAAGCCUGACGGAGCAACGCCGCGUGAGUGAUGAAGGUCUUCGGAUCGUAAAACUCUGUUAUUAGGGAAGAACAAAUGUGUAAGUAACUAUGCACGUCUUGACGGUACCUAAUCAGAAAGCCACGGCUAACUACGU
rnacentral:rRNA from 1 species